rnacentral:rRNA from 1 species
UGCGUAGGCGGAAUAAUAAGUCAGUGGUGAAAUCCUGCGGCUCAACCGUAGAACUACCAUUGAUACUGUUAUUCUUGAAUUUAGUUGAGGUAGGCGGAAUGUGUAAUGUAGCGGUGAAAUGCUUAGAUAUUACACAGAACACCGAUUGCGAAGGCAGCUUGCUAAACUAAUAUUGACGCUGAUGCACGAAAGCGUGGGGAGCGAACAGGAUUAGAUACCCUGGUAGUCC